AUUGAACGCUGGCGGCAGGCCUAACACAUGCAAGUCGAGCGGUAACACAGGGAGCUUGCUCCCGGGUGACGAGCGGCGGACGGGUGAGUAAUGUCUGGGAAACUGCCUGAUGGAGGGGGAUAACUACUGGAAACGGUAGCUAAUACCGCAUAACGUCGCAAGACCAAAGAGGGGGACCUUCGGGCCUCUUGCCAUCAGAUGUGCCCAGAUGGGAUUAGCUAGUAGGUGGGGUAAUGGCUCACCUAGGCGACGAUCCCUAGCUGGUCUGAGAGGAUGACCAGCCACACUGGAACUGAGACACAGUCCAGACUCCUACGGGAGGCAGCAGGGGGGAAUAUUGCACAAUGGGCGCAAGCCUGAUGCAGCCAUGCCGCGUGUAUGAAGAAGGCCUUCGGGUUGUAAAGUACUUUCAGCGGGGAGGAAGGUGCUGAGGUUAAUAACCUCAGCAAUUGACGUUACCCGCAGAAGAAGCACCGGCUAACUCCGUGCCAGCAGCCGCUGUAAAAC
rnacentral:rRNA from 1 species